AAUGUGUGUGUGUGUGUGUGUGGAUGCACGCGCGUACAUACACGUACACAUACAUACAUACAUACACACAUACACAUA